UUUUUUUUUUUUGCUUUUAUUUUAUUUUAUUAUUAUUUUCCCAAUACAUUUUUUUUUCUACUGUACAGCAUGGUAACCCAGUUACACAUACAUGUACACAUUCUAUUUUCUCACAUUAUCAUGCUUCAUCAUAAGUGACUAGACAUCACUGAUUAUUAGAGAAAUGAAAAUCAAAACUACCAUGAGAUACCACCUCACACCAGCCAAUCAGAAUGGCCAUCAUUAAUAAGUCCACAAAUAACAAAUGCUGUGUCACAAGACAUGUUUCUUUGAAAACUUCAUCUUGUUCUUCUUUACUUUAUCCCAUAUUCAUUCUUUACUUUAUCCAAUCUUGCUGCUUGAAAAAGUCACAGUGCUGGUAAAUGACUUAAGCUUAAGAACAAAGACUGUUAUGUGCCUAAAGGUCAGAGUAAAAGCUUAACCUUUUACCAGCUGAGUGGCUUUUAAAAUAAUAAAAGAACUUAUAUAAUAGUAAACAAACCCUAUAUCAUCCAUCCAUAGCCACUCCUCACUUGAUCUUAUCUAAAGAGCACAGUAAAAGUGGUGUGGUUUCUUGAGGCAGUGCUCUUGGUCCCUGAGACCUUGAGUCCCCUGGUUCCCAUCUUUACUGUCUCUGUGUCUUGUUUUAUGUUAACUUUUUUCUUAAGUUCCACAGCACCCGUUCUUCAGCCCCAUCCUGCUGAGCUGGUCUCAGCAAUGCUGGAAGGGGUGUGGAGAAAAGGGAACCCUCCUGCACUGCUGGUGAGAAUGUAAGCUGGUAAAACCACUAUGGAGAACAGUAUGGAGGUACCUUAGAAAUCUAUACAUAGAAUUACCAUAUGAUCCAGCUUUCCCACUCUAGGGCAUAUAUCCAGACAAAACUUUCCUUAAAAAGGACACAUGCGCCCACAUGUUCAUUGCAGCAAUAUUUUCUCCCAUUCUGUAAGUUGUCUUUUUGUUUUCCUUUCGGUUUUCUUUGCUGUGCAAAAGCUUGUCCAUUUGAUUACGGCCCAUUGGUUUAUUUUUGCUCUUAUUUCUGUUGCUUUGGGAGAAUGACCUGAGAAAAUAUUUGCCAGGUUUAUGACAGAGAAUGUUUUGUCUAUGUUCUUUUCCAGGAAUUUGAUGGUGUCUUGUCUUACAUUUAAGUCUUUCAGGCAUUUUGAGUUUAUUUUUGUGCAUAGUGUAAGGGUGUGUUCUAGUUUUAUUGAUUUGUAUGCCACUGUCUAGGUUUCCCAGCAAUGCUUGCUCAAAAGACUGUCUUUUUCCCAUUUUAUAUUCUUGCCUCCUUUGUCAAAGACUAAUUGACCACAGGAGUCUGGGCUUAUCUGCGUUCUCCAUUCUGAUCCAUUGGUCUGUAUUUGGUACCAGUACCACACCAUCUUAAUGACUGUUGAUUAGUAAUAUUGCCAGAUGUCUGGGAAAGUUAUGCAUCCUGCUUGGGUUUUGUUCCUCAGAAUUGCUUUGGCAAUUCUGGGUCUUUUGUAGUUCCAUAUAAAUGGUUGGAUUAUUUGUUCUAGUUCUGUGAGAAAUGUCUAGGGUAAUUGGAUAGGGAUUGCACUGAAUCUGUAGAUUGCUUUUGGUAGUAUGGCCAUUUUUACAAUAUUAAUUUUUCCAACCCAGGAGCAUGGGAUACCUUUCCAUUUCAUUACAUCUUCUUUAAUUUUCUUAAUGUUUUAUACAUCUCAGCAUAUAAGUAUUUUACCUCCUUGAUCAGGUGUAUUCCCAGGUAUUUGAUUUUGGGGGGUGCAAUUUUAAAAGAUAUUGUAUUUUUGUAUUCCUUUUGUUAGUAUACAGAAAUGACUGAUUUCUGAAUGUUAGUCUUAUAUCCUGCUACUUUGCUGAAUCUAUUAAUCAGUUCAAGUAGUUUUUGCUUUGAGUCCUUAGGCUUUUCUGUAUGUAGUAUCAUGUCAUCUUCAUACAGUGACAGUUUUACCUCUUCUCUUCCUAUUUGAAUGCCUUUUUAUUACGUUUGUUUGAGUGACUGCUGUGGCUAGGACUUCCAGUACUGUGUUGAAUAACAAUGGUGAGAGUAGGCAUCCUUGUCUUUUUCCAGAUUUUAGUGGGAAGGUUUCAGCUUUUCUCCAUUGAGUAUUAUAUUGGCUGUGGGUUUGUCAUAAAUGGCUUUGAUUAUGUUCCUUCUAUACCCACUUUGGUAAGAGUUUGUAUCAUGAAUGGAUGUUGGACUUUGGCAAGUACUUUUUCUGCAUCUAUUGAGAUGAUCAUGUGGUUUUUAACUUUUCUUUUGUUAAUGUGUUGUAUGAUAUUGAUUGAUUUGUGUAUGUUGAACCAACUUUGUGAACCUUGGAUGAAUCCCACAUGUUUGUGGUGUAUGAUCUUUUUUAUAUAUUGUUAGAUUCAGCUGGCUAAAAUUUGGUUGAGAAUUUUUGCAUCUAUAUUCAUCAAAGAUAUUGGCCUAUAGUUUUCUUUGUUGGUAGUAUCUUUGUAUGGUUUGUGUAAUAGGGUGAUGGUGGCAUCUUAGAAUGGGAGUAUUCCUUUUUCUUCAACGUUUUGAAAAAGUUUAAGGAGGAUGGGUAUAAGUUCGUCUUUGUAUGUUUGGUAGAAUUCACCUAUGAAGCCAUCUGGCCCUGGACUUUUAUUUGUAGGGAUGUUUGUUGUAGGUAUAUGGUUUCUCCUACAUCAGGGGCAAAUAUCUUGACCAUUGUAAUAGCCUUUUCUUGAAUGGAUCCUUUUACCAUCAAAUAGUCUCCUUCUUUGUCCUUCUUUAUGUCCUUUUUUUUAAAGUCUAUUUUGUUGGAUAUGAGUAUUGCAACUCCUGCUUUCCUGUCGUGUCCAUUGGCAUGAAAUAUCUUUACCUACCCCCUCGCUUUCAAUUUAUAUGUGUCAUUUGCUCUAUGGUGAGUCUCUUGUAGGCAGAAGAUUGAAGGUUUUUGCUUUUUUAUCCAAUCAGCCACUCUG
rnacentral:lncRNA from 1 species